rnacentral:rRNA from 1 species
UACAGAGGGUGCAAACGUUGUUCGGAAUUACUGGGCGUAAAGCGUGUGUAGGCGGUCCGGUAAGUCCGCUGUGAAAGUCGGGGGCUCAACCCUCGGAUGCCGGUGGAUACUGUCGGGCUUGAGUACGGAAGAGGCGAGUGGAAUUCCUGGUGUAGCGGUGAAAUGCGCAGAUAUCAGGAGGAACACCAAUUGCGAAGGCAGCUCGCUGGGACGUUACUGACGCUGAGACGCGAAAGCGUGGGGAGCAAACAGG